rnacentral:lncRNA from 1 species
AAUCCAAAAAGACGACCCAAGAUAUAUGGCUAUCUCUACCUUUAUUCUUCAAACACUUACUCGAUUUUACUAACUUGAUUUUGCUUUCUCAGGUGGCUGAGUAUUGAAGCAAGUAGACGUGAUCGCCGCGGCUGCGGCCAGGAAAAAGUUGCUCUCUUCCUCCAAGAAAACUAAAAUUGCCGCGCAAACCCAGCUGAUCAAACGGCCACGCCAGGAAACCGAGACAACAGGUGAAGGUCUUCGUCCCACAAAACACUUUAAGAAAUUGGUGAAGAAAGGAUAACGGGAGAUUUAAGUUAUCUUCAGCCAGACCACAGG